GAACAAAAGAGUUUGAUCCUGGCUCAGAAGAAACGCUGGCGGCCUGUAUGACACAUGCAAGUUGGAUGCAAAGAAUAGACUUUGCGUAGCGAACGGGUGAGGAACACGUGGGAAUCUACCAUAGAGUCUAGUGAAAGUUGCAUAUGUAUAUGGGCGAAUCCUGGAUAUACAAAGACGUUUGUCGCUCUAUGAUGAGCCCGCGCAGGAUUAGGUAGUUGGUGAGGGAAGGGCUCACCAAGCCGAUGAUCCUUAGCUGGCCUGAGAGGGUGGUCAGCCACACUGGGACUGAGACACGGCCCAGACUCCUUCGGGAGGCAGCAGUGGGGAAUCUUGGACAAUGGGCGAAAGCCUGAUCCAGCGAGGCCGCGUGAAUGAUGAAGGGCAUAUGCUCGUAAAAUUCGUGUGCCGAGAGUAGAUCAUGACAUGUCUCGGCGAUAAGCCCCGGCUAAUUCCGUGCCAGCAGCCGCGGUAAGACGGGAGGGGCAAGUGUUCUUCGGAAUGACUGGGCGUAAAGGGCACGUAGGCUGCAAGGUGGGUUACAAGUGAAAGCCCAGGGCUUAACCCUGGGAGUGCUUGUAAAACUGUUUUGCUAGGGUCAGGUAGGGGAGAGUGGAAUUCCUUGUGGAGGGGUAGAAUCCGUAGAGAUAAGGAGGAAGGCCAAACGCGAAGGCAACUCUCUGGGCCUGUACCGACGCUGAGGUGCGAAAGCAUGGGGAGCAAACAGGAUUAGAUACCCUGGUAGUCCAUGCUGUCAACGAUGAGUGUUCACGCCGUAGGCUGUAUGCCCGCGGCGUUCAGCGAACGCGAUAAACACUCCGCCUGGGGAGUACGGCCGCAAGGCUGAAACUCAAAGGAAUUGACGGGGGCCCACACAAGCGGUGGAGCAUGUGGUUUAAUUCGAAACAACGCGCAGAACCUUACCAGCCUUUGCCAUGCGGGAUGCCCUAAAAGUUAUUUUUUAGUGGUUGGCCCCGCACAGGUGCUGCAUGGCUGUCGUCAGCUCGUGCCGUGAGGCGUCGGGUUAAGUCCUUAAACGAGCGAAACCCCUAUCUCUCGUUGCCAACGGGAAAGCCGGGAACUCGAGAGAGACCGCCGGCGAGAUGCCGGAGGAAGGUGGGGAUGACGUCAAGUCCUCAUGGCCCUUAUAGGCUGGGCUACACACGUGCUACAGUGGCGAUGACAAAAGGAUGCGAUGGUGCGAGCCGGAGCGGAUCCCUAAACGUCGUCUUGGUUCGGAUUGCUCUCUGCAACUCGGGAGCAUGAAGUUGGAAUCGCUAGUAAUCGUGGAUCAGCAUGCCACGGUGAAUUCGUACCUGGGCCUUGUACACACCGCCCGUCACACCCUGGGAAUUUGUUUCCCCCGAAACGCUACAACAAACCUAUGACAAUACUGGCAUUGGAACGUGUAUCACCACGGGGUGGCAAGUGACUGAGGUGAAGUCGUAACAAGGUAGCGGUACCGGAAGGUGCCGCUGGAUUGACUCCUUUU
rnacentral:rRNA from 1 species